GACGAACGCUGGCGGCGUGCUUAACACAUGCAAGUCGAACGGAAAGGCCCUGCUUUUGUGGGGUGCUCGAGUGGCGAACGGGUGAGUAACACGUGAGUAACCUGCCCUUGACUUUGGGAUAACUUCAAGAAACUGGGGCUAAUACCGGAUAGGAGCUCCUGCAGCACGGUGGGGGUUGGAAAGUUUCGGCGGUUGGGGAUGGACUCGCGGCUUAUCAGCUUGUUGGUGGGGUAGUGGCUUACCAAGGCUUUGACGGGUAGCCGGCCUGAGAGGGGGACCGGCCACAAUGGGACUGAGAUACGGCCCAGACGCCUACGGGAGGCAGCAGUGGGGAAUAUUGCACAAUGGGCGGAAGCCUGAUGCAGCAACGCCGCGUGCGGGAUGACGGCCUUCGGGUUGUAAACCGCUUUCGCCUGUGACGAAGCGUGAGUGACGGUAAUGGGUAAAGAAGCACCGGCUAACUACGUG
rnacentral:rRNA from 1 species